AGGUUAUGUCAAAGAGGGCUCAUGAGGCUAUGAAACCAAGAGCUCUUAAUGCUAUGAACAAAGAUGGAAGUUCUCUAUAAAAUGCCAUAGCACUCCAUAAUGUUAUGUUUUCCUAAGGUAAUAUAAGA
rfam:Callithrix jacchus chromosome 1, whole genome shotgun sequence